rnacentral:rRNA from 1 species
UGGCGGCGUGCCUAACACAUGCAAGUCGAGCGAUCUUCUUCGGAAGAGAGCGGCGGACGGGUGAGUAACGCGUGGGUAACCUGCCUCAUACACAUGGAUAACAUACCGAAAGGUAUGCUAAUACAAGAUGAUAUAAGAGAUUCGCAUGGAUUUCUUAUCAAAGCUUUUGCGGUAUGAGAUGGACCCGCGUCUGAUUAGCUAGUUGGUAAGGUAACGGCUUACCAAGGCGACGAUCAGUAGCCGACCUGAGAGGGUGAUCGGCCACAUUGGAACUGAGACACGGUCCAAACUCCUACGGGAGGCAGCAGUGGGGAAUAUUGCACAAUGGGCGAAAGCCUGAUGCAGCAACGCCGCGUGAGCGAUGAAGGCCUUCGGGUCGUAAAGCUCUGUCCUCAAGGAAGAUAAUGACGGUACUUGAGGA